rnacentral:rRNA from 1 species
AUUAGAUACCCGGGUAGUCCUAGCCGUAAACGAUACUCGCUAGGUGUCGGCCACGGUGCGACCGUUGUCGGUGCCGUAGGGAAGCCGUGAAGCGAGCCACCUGGGAAGUACGGCCGCAAGGCUGAAACUUAAAGGAAUUGGCGGGGGAGCACCACAACGGGUGGAGCUUGCGGUUUAAUUGGAUUCAACGCCGGAAAUCUUACCGGGACCGACAGCAAUAUGAAGGCCAGGCUGAAGACUUUGCCGGAUUAGCUGAGAGGUGGUGCAUGGCAUAUA